rnacentral:rRNA from 1 species
UGCAGUCGAACGAUGAAGCUGGAGCUUGCUCCGGCCGAUUAGUGGCGAACGGGUGAGUAACACGUGAGCAAUCUGCCCUUGACUCUGGGAUAACUGCGGGAAACUGUAGCUAAUACCGGAUACUUUCCUCGCUGGGCAUCCAGCGGGGAAGAAAGAAUUUCGGUCAAGGAUGAGCUCGCGGCCUAUCAGCUAGUUGGUGAGGUAAAGGCUCACCAAGGCGACGACGGGUAGCCGGCCUGAGAGGGUGACCGGCCACACUGGAACUGAGACACGGUCCAGACUCCUACGGGAGGCAGCAGUGGGGAAUAUUGCACAAUGGGCGAAAGCCUGAUGCAGCAACGCCGCGUGAGGGAUGAAGGCCUUCGGGUUGUAAACCUCUUUUAGCAGGGAAGAAGCGAAAGUGACGGUACCUGCAGAAAAAGCACCGGCUAACUACGUGCCAGCAGCCGCGGUAAUACGUAGGGUGCAAGCGUUGUCCGGAAUUAUUGGGCGUAAAGAGCUCGUAGGCGGUUUGUCACGUCUGCUGUGAAAAUCCGAGGCUCAACCUCGGACUUGCAGUGGGUACGGGCAGGCUAGAGUGCGGUAGGGGAGAAGGGAAUUCCUGGUGUAGCGGUGGAAUGCGCAGAUAUCAGGAGGAACACCAAUGGCGAAGGCACUUCUCUGGGCCGUAACUGACGCUGAGGAGCGAAAGCGUGGGGAGCGAACAGGAUUAGAUACCCUGGUAGUCCACGCCGUAAACGGUGGGUGCUAGCUGUGGGCCACAUUCCACGU